GGAUAACGUGAUUAGUACGGACGACGCCUUCGGGAUCGUUAGUAUAGCUAUAAACUGGGCGUUUGUGUAAUGCGGGUUUGUAGUAAUUAAUCAUGCUCAAAAAUAAUCCAACGUCGCCUGGGACUGACACUAUACGCUAUGCAAUGGUUUCAAUGUAACUUCAUGUAAUUCAAGGAACUAGGAGAACAUCGGGUUUUCCUAGGGUUUUCAAUACAUACAGAUUUGAAAUGCAUACAACUUCAAUGAACAUUUUUUUUACAAGUAUAGAAACAAACAAGCAUACUUAUGGAUCUUCACAAACGUUUUCAAAAGCUUCUCUUUUCAGAAAAUAUCGGAUUUUCUGGUGGUUUUCAAACGAUACGAAACAUUGUUUUUCAAAUACAACUUAUGAACUCACCAACAUUUCAUAUGUUGACGUUUUUCAAAAUACUUGUAUUCUCAGGGAACCAGUGAAUCAAAGGAAAUCGUAUUCAGUGAUGGCUUGCAGUUUAUUUAUGUACGAAUCGAACAAUUUAUUUUGGGAAUGUAAUGUUUAAACAAUGUACUUCAUGUAAACUUUACUGGUUGUACAAUAUUAAUGCAUGGUGACGAAUGUUGUUACGUUUCAUAUAUAUACAAUGUUAUGGUAUUCAAUUGAGUCACGACAGCCCCCGAACGUUUCCGCCGCCUGGUUUGGGGGUGUGACAGGUUGGUAUCAGAGCUUUGUUUAUAGUGAACUAGCAUGUCGAGCCACACAUUGAUAUGCAACUAUAAACCAAAAAGAGGGACUAACAUAACUCUGAACAAAACAAGUAAAUAAAACACGCUUGCUUGCAUUAGGAAUAAGGACCUAACGCAGAAUCAAACACAAUAAUGCUAGUAUCUCGGUUAAUUCGGGACUGUUCUUAGUGAUACCAAGGAGUGAAUGUAGCCUGAUCAACUACAUUCUCUCCAAAGUAAAACUAACACACGUCUGGAUGAGAUCGAGAUAGCUAGGGAACCUAAAACUAUACCCUUUAUCACCAACAAGAGAACGUUUGCUUAGUCUGUACAAUAGUCAUAGCACCUAGGAAUAAUGUUAGCAUAUUUACGUACUCGCGCAGACAGCAUGGCUGGUUUUCAUCACCCUGGAGACCCCUAUUUCCCUAAUCAGGGAAACAACGGGUGGCUAGAGGAGGAGGAGCCUGAGGAAGAGCCUGAAGAGGAACCUGAGGAAGACCCCGAAGAAGAAUCUGACGAAGAACCGGAACCUGAGGAAGACCCCGAAGAAGAAUCUGACGAAGAACCGGAGGCAGAAGCCGAGGGCGAGCCUGCCG
rnacentral:lncRNA from 1 species